AAGCUGGAGUAGAGAUAUCAACAUGGACAGAGAAUGACAAUUCUUGGGAGUUUGUCUUGAGUGCUGGAUUGGAGAUUGAUGCAUACGUUCUGGCAUCUGCAUCUUCUAGAAUCAAGACCCUUUUGAAUAUGAGUAAAACUUUUGCAAAUCUACUGGGAGUUGAGGAAUCCUCAGUUAUCCUGGCGCCAACUUUGAAUUUGCAGCGGUGUUCGACAGUGAAACCAUUGAAAGCUUCUGGAGUUUGCUCUACGCUACUGCUAUGGAACAGAAGAUAAAAGAGUCAGCGAGCCUCGCAGGUCGCCUCGAUUUGUUCAGUAAAAUUUUGUGUCGAGUGAGGAAAGAUGACAGAGAAAAACGUUCAAGUUUCAGAAGCAGAACAACAAGCAGGUCAAACCACGGGAAAAGGGUUGAUUUCAGAUUCUCUAAUUUUCAAGCCCUUCAGGUAUUGAUCUUUCUUCAACAAAAGCAAAGGCAGCAAGGAGAAAGACAUUCUUAGAAAAUUUCACCAUUUUCUUGUGUAAAAUAGUCUUGAUGGAAAAAUAUAUUUUGGCAUGCUGCUCCCAUUUAAACACAUCUUGAAGAGAAGGAUAUGCAGUCAUAACAUGUUUUUCUUUCUUAAGAGUAGAAUUGUUGUCAGUUGAUUAAUUUUACUAAGCUUCCUUUUGUUUUGUGCUUAGUGCCAUCCUAUUCUUAUAGGAUCAUAUUUUUAACUUAUUGUAGUUUCCUAAUUAUCUCUUUCUAAAUUAUCGGAUUGUGAAGUGA